AAACAAUAAACAAAUAGCUACUCACUCAACUUAUAUCUAUAUAUAGUCUAAAUUUUGAUGCAACAAACAUUGCACAUGUACUCAAAUACGUCUUUGAUCUUACAUACCAAGAGUUAGAGAUACGAAUAUGAACAUGAAGUUUGGAACCAUUCUCCCGAUUGCUUUUGUUUUGUUCGCUCUUUUUAGCCACACUUAUAGUGGGAGAGACUAUUGCCAAGAAGAAGUGACAAUGGAAGGCAAAUGUGGCAAGGGUAUGAUUGACUGCAUGAUCGCAAUAGUACAAAAAGUUGGAAAACCCCUUAUAGAUGCCACAUGCCGCUGUGAUUCUCUUGGUAAUAAUAACCGCAAAUGCAUUUGUACUUAUGUAUGCGUUAAGUAAUUGAAAAGUAAUAAUAUAUAUCCUCCUAAUUAGUCCUAAACAUCGUUCUCGUUAUUGUCUUAGUUCCCAAAUAUAAAAACCAUUCAAAUGUUUGUGUUUAAUAUUUUGAAACCAUUAGGAAAAAAAUUGAAUAUGUCUGUCAGUUUUUUUUUCCGAAAUUAGAAGGAUAUAUAUUUAAAAAAGAUGCGUUUAUGGAGGAUGUAUUAUUAUUAUUAUUAUUAAGAUCUUGGAAGGAGUGACAUGUUACAUAUUUAUAUCUUAUGAAUCCCUACUUAGUGGAAAUUCAGUAUAUUUGUAUCGUGUUAUAUAUUGAGUAGUUCUUUUAA